UACGUAGGGGGCAAGCGUUGUCCGGAUUUAUUGGGCGUAAAGCGCUCGCAGGUGGUUCGAUGCGUCGUGCGUGAAAGACCCCGGCUCAACUGGGGGGUAUCGUGCGAUACGGUCGGACUGGAGGCCAGUAGGGGGAUGCGGAAUUCCGGGUGUAGUGGUGGAAUGCGUAGAGAUCCGGAGGAACACCAGCGGCGAAGGCGGCAUCCUGGACUGGUCCUGACACUCAUGAGCGAAAGCGUGGGGAGCGAGUCCGG
rnacentral:rRNA from 1 species